ensembl:lncRNA
ACCCAGAUGGGUAACUCUAACAGGAAUGGCAGUGCUUUAGGAUUUGAUGUUCACGAAGAAAGUGGAAUUCCUGAGCAAUGCAGAGGAAGGUAAUGGGGAUAAUAAGGCAAAGCAAGGAGAGCAGCUGGGGAAAGUGAGGGAAAGGCUGAAAGGAAAAGAACAGGCAGCAUGCAGGGCACCUUAUAGUGCAGUAAUGAGCUCUAGGAGCACUAUAUUGUGCCACUCUGUGUAGUGGAUAACCAUCUGUGUGUAUACGUUCCCUUUGCCUGUCUGGGCAACCAGCAGCCGCACAGCAAAGGCGGCUUCCGGGGCACUGCUGGAAAUGCCUCGGAGCGGUUCUCGCACCUCCCGACAGCGCUGCGGCUCUCUGCUGCCACCUGCUGGACGCCGGUCGGUACUGCAGGCACUGCCCCAGCAAGGGUCCCUGGUGUAUUCCAGGCACCGGAGACGUGCAGUGGUUUCUCCUGGGGCUCCUCAGUGUUCUCUAGGCUGCUCUAGAUGCUUCCCAGAGCGUCCUAGAGGCCUCUCAAGAGCCAACCUAUGUGCUCAGAGAAACGCUAGUGUGCUUCCAGAGCUCCUGUAUGUGUUCUCAGGAGGGUUCCAAGUGUGCCCUAGAUGCCUCCAAGAUGCCCCCAGCAUAAUCUGAGGAAUCCUGGAGUACUCCCAGAGCUCCUCAGUGUUCACUAGGAUGCUGUAGAAGUCUCACAUUGUGCCCUAGAGGCUUUCAAGGACACCCCAGUGGACCCCCUCAGCCCCGGCGCUGAGCCAAUCGGAUGCCGCGAUAGGCGCAGGGGUGGCUGAGAGCCAAACCGGUCCGUUCCCGGCACUGAGCGCUCCCCUGAUCUGAGUAGCGAGCGUAAAUCCAUGCAAGUACCACUUGCUUUGGUGCAUGCGCACUGCUGCCGGAGGACCAGUCACCAUAGAGCGGUGGUUUCUCUGUGCAGAGCAGCUAGAAGUUAGACGUCACUUCCGGCUUCCUGUGCACACGCGUCUUACUGCCUGGAGGCUCAAACACCAUAGAAGUUGGCGGACUCGAGGCGCAGAGCGGCUACAUGCAAAUUACCGAUGCGCUGAGCCAAUCGGCGGCCGCGCGGAGGCAGCGAUGAGUUAAAGCGGUACUUUUCAUAGGAGGUGUGGAAGAAAUGUGAGAAAGAGGUGUCUUAGAUGAGAGGAGACGACUGGACUAUGUGGAUCAAGGGAGAAGAGUUGAGUUGUGUGUUCUAGAAUACAAAAGUGACUUUGUUGUACAGUUUCAUCGGCCUGAUGAUUCUCUGCUGGAAAUCAGUGGAUGACUCAAAGCAAAGACAAAAGGCAGCCAAGUGUCAGACAGCAAAAGACAACACCGUUUUUCUUUCUUCAUGACAGCUGGGAUGAACAUUUGCAAGAUACGGAUCCAAAUGUUUCUGUACGUAAAACUGUUUGUCACCUGGUGAUCAGCUAUGCCUGUUUGUUACCAUGACCAAACAGUGAGUCCUCAUUUUGAUUCAUCAAGAACUUUGCCCUUUGUUGUGAACUAAAGUACUACUAAAACCUGACAGAGCAAGAACUAAGUUGUUCAAAAGGAUACUGAGUCAUGGUGCAGGAAACACUGAUUAUUAUGCCCAACUUGUUUUCACAUACAUGUGUGCAUGUGCAUAAUAGGUAGAUGUAAGCUCAUUGCUUGCCUUGCAAGGAACUGCUGUAUUUUGUAAGACACAUAGCAAGCAACUUCUCUUAUAUAGCAAGCAUAAUAAGUAAACUUCCCUUUGGUUUCAAUUUCUACAUCCAAAAUAUUUACAGGGACUAUUGAAAUCUGUCUAUCAACUCCUAGGCAAGGCCCUAGACAUUUUUCUAGCUGUUGCGUAAGAAACAACAAAUCUCAGUUUAUGUGGUGCAUGAGAGCUGGCACUGAUUUUCCUAGGAAGCACUGCAACUGUUCUGGUUUGGGCUGCGUUAGAGUUAAUUUUUCAUAGUGAGUGGUAUAUGUCCCUUAAAGAUAAUGCCUUUUCACAGUAUCUGUCUUAUUUUUAAAAGCAUUAAUUAAGAGGAAAGGCAGACAGCAGUAAAAGUAUGUCCACAAUUAACAUAGGAAAAUACUAAGCUCAUGUAAAAUGACUGUAGCGUGCUUUCUGUUGCUUUAUGAUGGAAAACAGAUCUGUACUAUCUGCACACAAAAAGGAGGAAAGCAUUAUUUAAAGUCUCUAAUAGCAUAUUAAGCUGGAGGAAAUUUUAAAUGAUUAGCCUAAUUAGUCUACUUCUUAACAAGGAUCAAGUAAGUUACUAAUGUAGAAAUGAGUAAGGCAGAAGGUUUGUACCUUCUAAGAAGCAUGGCUGCCCUUUAAGCUGCCAUCUGAAUCCACAGUCUCUCCUCUUAGAAUAAGGAAGUUAAGAUCUGGCACUGCUUCAGUUCAAUAAAAAACAAAAUAAUUUGGAUCUUGAUCCCCAAUUUAUCCUGUAGCUAUCUGAGAAAUUCUUUCCUUAUUAACAGAGAAAGAAGGAAGUAACUGUAGAAACUGCUUUAAGGCAGCUGCCUAGAAUUUUUCGUGGUAAUGAGCUCUGUUCAUAGACUUUAAAAAGUUUAAUUAAAUACAGAUGAAUGACAUUUCCUACUUUCGUAAAACUAUAGAUCGGCAUUUGUAAGAGCUCAUGAAGGCAUCCAGUCCUUGUCCUAAUUAGCCACGGUAGUUUAAAGCAAAAAAAAGUAGUGCUGGAGGGGGGGGAGGGGAUCUACUGUUGAUUUAUCAAUUAUGGUAUUUUCUAUUAUACCAAAAUGAUGCAGAAAGGCUUUGAAAUCCAUCAUCCCAAUGCCAGUUUCUGCAGUUAUGAAAAAAAUGCCUAUACUGACAACAAAGUCCAUUUCAUGCUCUUGUAUUCCACUUGACCUUCUAUCUUCUCAGUUUAAGGAUUGUGGCCUGAGGCCACCGCCGUGUCAGUCACCCACAUGUUAACUCUGGCAACAAACCAAGUAUUGAAUUCUUGCAGAAACGCCGAAAAGAUCGUUAGAAAAAAAGAAAAGCUUAUGUGUACAUACAUACUAUGAAGAGCAUUUGAGUGAGCAAACCCAGAAGGUGGGUUUGAGGACGGACCGGGCUGCAAGCUUCCAACCUGCGUAGUACAGAAGGACUCUCAGCAACUGGCCCAAGAGGAAACUGAAGAUGACUUGGUCCUGUGCUGUAGUAACAACACUUCACUGCUUUGGAAAAACAAUAAAAAGAAGAAAGAAAAAAGAAAGCAUUGAGAGUUCCAACACCAUAAAAAGAUAAGAAACAGAAUGUAUUUUGAGUGAAAGUGGAAAAGUCUUGUGUUACGCAACACAGUCAUGCAGAAAUCUCCAAAACAGGUGUGUUCAUAACAGCAUGGCACUGAGCAUGGAUUAAUUCAUUACAGCUGAGAUACUCCUAGGUUCUGAUUGGAAUAGUUUGUGGGUACAUCUUCUCACAGAUGUUCCAGCUCAGAUAUGUUACUGCCUCAGGCCUGCACUUGUACCAUUGGUUCUUGUGGUUUGGCUGAACUGGAGCAAGAGGAACAGAAAGACACAAGGGCUGUUUGCAAAGAAAAACAUAUAGAGGGGGAAAGUAGAAGCAGUUAAACAAAUAAAGAGGUAUUGAAGAGAAGGAAAAUCAAUGAGUCAUAAGUGAACAUGGACGAACUUUCAGAGGAAGUGAUGCAUGCAUGUAGAUGGAUAUUGGAUAUUACAUAGAGGGUAUUUCAAUGCUGGCAUUUGAUUUGAAAGAACAACCAGGCAGGUCCACUUUCUCUCCCUACUAAUUUACAUGAAAUUACUAACUCUCCUCUAAUUUGUAUUAGGACAUUUCAAAGCUCUGCGUGAUUUCCAAAGGCAAUUUGUGCCAAUGGGAAGGUAUACACACAGCAUAUGAAUGAGUACAAGGGAACUUGAUCAAAAUUCCAGUCUCAUGUAUUUUUUCUGAACACUUGCUGCACUCCUUUCAGAUCUGGAAAAUUGCAGGCUGACAUAUCUCUGGAUUUUUUAUGUUGUGCUUCUUUUCUCCUAAGAUCUACGCCCUACUGGUUCUGGGAAACUUGUGACCUCUGCAUUUUUAAUUAGAACUUGUAACAUUUUCCAUAGCAACAUAUUUUGAUGUCGCAAAUACAGAACCUGUCAAAUCAAACAAUUUCAAAGUGCAAAGCUACGGCCUUCUGGUCAAUUGAAGUCCAAGUACAUGAAAACACUGAGAUGCAAGGAAGACUGAAAAUUAUUUGUUGGUUAACUCAUAGCUUUGAUCUUCAUAAUUAAUAAAUCAGUACAGAUAUAAAAGAAUUACAUUGCAUGCUGGAGUGGUUUAGAUGAACUCAGUACUAAUUUCAUCGCACGUGAGAGCAGAUAGAAUCCAUCUGUCUGACUGGUGUGCCAGUACUAACAUGGUACAAAGGAGAGGAUCUAUUUCUAGGAAAUAGUCGAGAUGUGGAACAAACUUCACUCACAUGAUGAGCUGUGUGAGCAGGAAGUGAAGAAAACAGAAAUCCUCUGAAACGAGGCCUGAGCUCAGAUUUCAACAGACCCACAAUAUGAGCAGGAAUAAUAAUAAUGGGUUAAGAAAAGCAGUGUAACUUAGCACUUAAAUAUGUAUAUUAAAAAUAAGUCAUUUAUUUAUGAUACAUGCCCUGCAAGUGCCAAAUAAUACUUCUGUCAAGUCUGAAGAACAUAAACUGAGAAUUUUUGUCAUUCAGAUAUACUUAUCUUUCCUUUUCCUGCUUUAAGCUAAGACUAAUGGCCAAGGAAGUCAUAUUUUCCUGCCAUUACUAAGACUGCACAAGGUAAUUUGCCCCUCUGCAAGGACAUCCACGUGUAACUGUUAGUAACACCAGCAGCCACGAGAUAUGGAUAUGAUCAUCAAGUCUUACUAAAACAAAUGCUGAAUACCAUGAACCUUUCAGGAGGAAAAGGCAAGUGUCAAUGUGGAAUGCGGUAAGAACUUUCUUGUUUCUGGUAGCAUUGGGUAUGUGACUGCUAUCCCUCUUCUUAUUCCAUCUAUUUCCACUUUUUACAAAAAAAAAAAAAAAAAAAAAAAAAAAAAAACACUGGAAUAUUAAGUUAAUAUUAAGUUAAACGUGGUAUGUUUCAACCUUGCAUUGCAGAUAAGGAAUUCCUGGAGUUCCUGAAUCCUGCGUGAUUGCAGGCAGCUCAGCUGAGUGUGCAUAAGGGAAAGGGGAACAAAAAUAUAAGAUUUUUCUGUUUCCUACCAAUUAUCUGAUAUUUCCCCUCUACUGUCUUUGGUGUAAAAGAAAACCAAAGUUCAGCCUUCUAGGAAAUGUAUUCUGGUAACCUGAAAGACUUUAUAAAUAGAGUGCACAAAUAGAUGACAGUACUUCCAUGACAUAGAUUUUCUGCUUUAGAAUGAAAUGCUUCAUUUGAAAAAGCUCCUAAAAUUGUUAGAACAGUAAUUUAAAAAAAAAAAAAAAAGUUUAAACUCCACAAUUGAAUACAAAAAACGUUGCUGUGAAGGUUUUGAUUUCCAAGAAAUCCAUUUUAAACGUAUUUACAAAGUUUACAUAGAAGAAUAGAUCUGCUGCUAUCUAUAACAUUCACUUCUGUAGUAGAACAGCUAAUUUGCGACUAUUGGAUGAGAGAUACAGAAAGAGUCACUUUAGUGAAAGAAAAAAAAAACAUAUUAUUUUAAGGACAAAUAGUAAAAAAUGAUUGUUUUGGAGUUUAGAGACACAGAGUUUGAAGGAUUUUGCCCUCCGAUGCAGACUGCUCAUGCUUAUGCUGUAGCAAAGGAGGAGCAUCUUGACUACAAGAGUCUUAGUGGAAGAAAACUGGCAAUGCCUUUAUAAAAAUGUAUUUAAUUUCUGUGUUUGCAGUUUUCCCAGCUUCAUCCCUAGGUCCUGGCCUCAAGGGCCCUAGAGAUGUCACAGUUUUAAACAGUCUUAUAAAUCUAGGAGGGGAAAUGAGCUGUCUCUCAUCUUAAACAGAGAGCCUUGGAGAAUGUCUAUGGGGCUUUACCAAUGGAGCUGCCGAAAACAAAGCUAUGAUUCAGGGGUCUCUGACCUUUCCCAGCCCUCCUCCACCAGUGUCAGCCUGCAGCCUGCUCUUUAAAAGUUUCUGCUCACCCAGGGAGCAAAAUUAGAAAUCUUCUCCAGGGACAAUUUUUCUUCCAUCAAGCCACUCAUCAGCCCACUGAGGCAUGGAAACCAAAAAGGAAAAAGUGAGUUAAAAGAAUGUAUGUCUCUUGGUAAGGAUUUCCCACAGCAGAGUGUAAGUGUCCAGACUACCUCAUCAGCAGAGUCCCAGCCUUUACUAUAGGUCUUGGUAUUCAGUCUGUACUGUAGUGGUAUAGAAAAGUGCCAAGCACUGUGCAGGUGAUGCAUGCAUCAAUACAGCAGAUGUGGAGGUGUGUUUGAACUGCUUAACAUCAGCACUUACCAAAUGUUGAAGACACUCUAGCCCCUACGACAAAUAAAAGCAUUCAUUCAGAUGUGCAUGGCAUUUCAGGAAUGGAAUCAUUAUUAUCUUCUCCGAAAAUGUUUUGUCUUAUGUUUAAUAUAAUAUAAUAUAUAUUGCUUAUUGGAAACAAAUCCUUGUUAGUCUCGUUGUUUGUUUGUUUCCUAAUUGUGGAUCACCACAGAACAGGGUACAGUUCAUAAAUACCUCAAAUAUCUGAAAGGUGAUUGCAGCAGAGCAGGGCUGGUCUCUUCUCACUGGUGGCAGGAUGAGGAGAAAUGGCCUCAGGCUGCACCAGGGGAGGUUUAGGUCGGAUAUCAGGAAGAAUUUCUUUACAGAAAGGGUUGUUAAGCUCUGGAAUGGGCUCCCCAGGGAGGUGUUGAGUCACCAUCCCUGGAUGUGUUUAAAAUCCAUCUGGAUGUGGUGCUCAGGGACAUGAUUUAGUGGAGGGUUGUUAGAGUUUGGGUAGUAUGGUUGGGUCUUGAUUGGACUCAAUGAUCUUUAAGGUCUUUUCCAAGCAAAUUCUAUGAUUUCCGGAGCAAUUCUAUGAUUCUGUCAUUUAAUAUGGAGAAAAUUCAAGUAAACUAAAAAUCAGAUUUAAAAGAUAACCUGGUGCAAUGUACUUUUAUUUAUUAAUUUGUUUAUUUUUAUUCCCCAGGCCUUUUUAAAGUUAACCCUAGAAAACACCCCAUGUUGGCGACUCCUUGUAAUUCAUGUCAAUGUUCUUUCAGCAGCACAGUUGCUGCUUCCACGCCGUGAGCAUCUCCUGUAUUUGCUUUAGAACUGCUUCCUGCUGAUGCGUUAAGCACAGGAAGUGAAAGGUUGGUCCCAAAAUGUCUUCUGAGUGCAAAGGAGAAGCCUGCUGGGGCUGGGGCUGCAUGCAAGUCACAAUACUUUUCCUUGAAUAAUCACCUGAAGCACAACUCUUAGAAACCAUUGUACUGCAGCAAGUAGCUGCUAUUUUUCUGCACCCUUUUUUUUCUGUGCUUUCAGUGGCAGUUGUAGGUAUCUCACAUGGCCAGCUGCUCUCUGUUCACAACUAUAGGUGCUGGUGCCCUGUGUGUCCAUAAAUGAAUGGUUUAAGAGCCUGAUGUAAAUAAGCAGCACAAACACAGGGUGUUCCUCCCCUGCUCUGCCCUUGGAGCUGAAAGGCAGAAUAUUGGAAUGGGUCUGUUGUCGAUUCCAUAACUACCUCCCCCCAUUCAGCUGAAGGAAGGGAAAUAAGAAAAUUGAAAGGUCAGACUUCUGAAGUCAUCUUCGCCACGUGCUUAACAUUUACAUCAUCAAAUUAAUGGAAUGACUGCAACCACAAGCACAAAAGAUAAAGGACAGAAGCUCUUUUUCCUUCGCAGUACAAAUCCUUCUCACAGAACCUCACACUGAAUCUUUUCCCAGCUGUACAGGAUUUACUUCCCAUUCUCUUCCAAGAUGCCAGAAACUCAGCCUCUAGCUAAAGCCUGCUAAGACAACUCUUUUUUGUUUCUCUUGGUGAAGCAGACGCACCGCAUUCUGAACGCUUGCACUUUCCACCAUGAGAAGUGUUCUGGGAGAGAAAGCCCCAAAAGAUCAAAUGUUAUCAUUUCUCAUUAAGUCAGUUUACACCACUGUUGUCAGUCAGUGUAAGGAACAUUAAUAAGUACAAGCUGUGGUAAAUUCCUGGAGGUCGCCUUGCAGUGAUAAGGAAGCCUUGCAGUGAUCUGGAAGCCUACCUGCCUGCCAUGGAGCCCAAAGGCAGUCAUGCCAUCCCAUCCAUCUCCCUGAAGUCAAACUGGGCCCUGAAGUCUGAAGACUGCAAUAUUUCGUGUAGUUCUGCCUACAUACCAAACAUCCUCAGCAUCAAAAAUCCACUUGGCAGGUCUUUGGGCAGGCACUGAGUUUUCAUAUGUAUCAACCCGUCCAUGUAGAAUGAGAGCCUUUUCACCUGCGUGUAACUUGUUAAUGUGAGCAAAUAAAGCAUCUGGGAAGGGCAGGGAAAGGAAGGGGGAAAAGAAUAAGGUCAGAUCUGUAAAGUAAGUCGAUCUCUAAGGAUUAAGCAGUGCUUCUUUGUAGAGAUCCUCCACCAAAAAAAAAAAAAAACCCAGACAAGAUUCAGUGCUCUCAACAUAAACCACUAUGGAGACCAGCUGAACUCUUGGCAGAUAUCACAGGGUACCCCAAAAAGACAUAAAACAUAUGAUAAGGUGCUAAAUGCAACAUUAUCCAUGUAGCAUCUUUUAUUCAGCAUCUACAGUCAUCUGGGGUAGGCAAACUCAGGCCAGGGCAGCAGUAGUUGAGGUUUAUGUCCAAGGAUCAAGAUUAAAUUUAAAUAAGACACACAUUGCUUGCUUUUUUGUUAGCUGAGGCAAAGAGGACAUCACUCAUUCAGUCUGCAAACACUCCCACUGUGACACACUCAGUGCUAAACUGAGAAACGUUCUUAGGAAUGUCAUAGGUGAGGAAAUGAGCAGCAGCAAAUGGUACCUCCGCUUUGAUACCUGGGUUCAUGGAAACUUAUUUGAAGUGAUGUAAUAGGGCACAACCAUUUACCAGGUGUUGCCUAUUGAGAGGGAAAACUAUACAAAGCCACAUCUGACUUUAAACAGGUUCCUGUAAUGCUAAUUUACUUAGAGAUGGCACCUGGACAGGACAUUGUCUUCAGGAAGCUGUAGUGCACAGCCCAAGAAAUACACACAAACAGCUGUAAUUACUAAUAAGAACACACGUUUACAUUUGUAAGUGUUGGAAAGCCUUCAAUUUAGCAUCUCUAUAAAUGCUGGAAAGCUCUUAGAAUAAAUGACCAGAAUCCCUCCUUCCUUGGGAAGCCAGCAAGGGCCCCACCUGACGGCUCUCCCAACGAAGAGUGUUGGAAGCCAUUUUUUGCAGCUGGGGAAGGAAAAUACAAGCUUAGGGGAAGAAUCUAUCACAACUUCCAGCAUGAGAAGGAAAGCAAGAGACAACUUGUCUGAGUCUGCCUUCUUGCAGCAGGAGGGCUACGAAAGUGUUUUUAAUGUCAGUCAAAACCAUUCUCCACGAUGGAUAAAACACAACAGAAGUGGACCAGGUCCAGUUUUGGGGAGUGAUGCUUUCUGACUGUGAUGGUGCUGUGGUGAAUAUUUCACAUCAGUGUCCGCUUUGUAAAAUUCAAGAUCUGAGUAUCUCUCUAUGCUGUUCGCCUUCUAUAGUGGUUUCCAGCGUAGCUUGCUUUCUUCAACAAUCAACAUCACCUACUAUCUGCAGGCACAAAUUAUCUAUUAUUAUUAUUUCUGCAGUUUAACAACACAAAGCAAAAGCAGAAAUAAAAGGAGAGAACAAAAGCAGCUCGUGAAGUCCACAACAUGCAUAAGAUUUGAUAUACAAUGCAUUAACUUCUCCCCAUUCGGUCCCCACGAGGACAGCGGCUCCAGGGCUGUGUGGUCCUAAAGCUUUAAAGUCAUUGAAAUUCUAAUCUUUAAAAAACACUGAAAGAUGAACUUUGACUGUACAAACCUUCAAAUAAAAAUAGCAUUUUUACUAAUGUGCUCUUCCCAAGUGCCUGCUUCUUCCUAGUAGGUUUCCCAUCCUAAUACUGUAUGUUUUUGCAGCUGGCAAUUGACACUGCCAAUGAGCCUUUAUGUUCAAUGUUAUUUAAUAGAUUCCCAUCAGAAAGUUAUUUUUACUUUUCAGUUUCAGUAUCUUCUUGAAGUGUCCUGCAUAUAACGUU